AUUGAACGCUGGCGGCAGGCCUAACACAUGCAAGUCGAACGAGCGGCGGACGGGUGAGUAAUGUCUGGGAAACUGCCCGAUGGAGGGGGGUAACUACUGGAAACGGUAGCUAAUACCGCAUACCAUCAGAUGUGCCCAGAUGGGAUUAGCUAGUAGGUGGGGUAACUGCUCACCUAGGCGACGAUCCCUAGCUGGUCUGAGAGGAUGACCAGCCACACUGGAACUGAGACACGGUCCAGACUCCUACGGGAGGCAGCAGUGGGGAAUAUUGCACAAUGGGCGCAAGCCUGAUGCAGCCAUGCCGCGUGUAUGAAGAAGGCCUUCGGGUUGUAAAGUACUUUCAGCGGGGAGGCGUUACCCGCAGAAGAAGCACCGGCUAACUCCGUGCCAGCCGCCGCGGUAAUUC
rnacentral:rRNA from 1 species